UACGGAGGGUGCAAGCGUUAAUCGGAAUUACUGGGCGUAAAGCGUGCGUAGGGGGUUCGUUAAGUCCGUUGUGAAAGCCCCGAGCUCAACUUGGGAAUUGCAGUGGAUACUGGCGAGCUGGAGUGCGGUAGAGGAAGGUGGAAUUCCCGGUGUAGCGGUGAAAUGCGUAGAGAUCGGGAGGAACACCAGUGGCGAAGGCGGCCUUCUGGACCAGCACUGACACUCAAGCACGAAAGCGUGGGGAGCAAACAGG
rnacentral:rRNA from 1 species